UACGUAGGUGGCAAGCGUUGUCCGGAUUUACUGGGCGUAAAGAGCGCGCAGGCGGUCGUGCAAGUCGCGUGUGAAAGCCCCCGGCUCAACUGGGGAGGGUCACGCGAUACUGCUCGACUCGAAGGCAGGAGAGGGAAGUGGAAUUCCCGGUGUAGUGGUGAAAUGCGUAGAUAUCGGGAGGAACACCGGUGGCGAAGGCGGCAUCCUGGACCAAUACUGACGCUGAGGAGCGAAAGCCAGGGGAGCAAACGGG
rnacentral:rRNA from 1 species